rnacentral:lncRNA from 10 species
UCUCCAAUUUUCCAUUCUCAUGGAUUCGCCAUUUUUUGAUCACUCUAGCACUCAAUAUUAUCAUCGUUUUACUUGCAAUAUAUGUUCCUGACAUUAGAAAUGUAUUUGGUGUAGUUGCAAUAUCCUCUCUUUUUUUUCCCUCCACUUUAAAGGUGCCAGUACAUCAACAUGUUUGAUUUUUAUAUUCCCAGGACUAUUUUAUCUUAAACUUAGCAGAGAGGAUUUUCUGUCAUGGAAAAAGCUUGGGGUAGGUUGUUUUUGUUUCUUUCUUUCAAGACUUCUAUUUUAAGAAAUAGUUUGUCAGUUUAUAUUAUUUUACCUGCAUCAAGAAAGUCAAUAUAUUUUAAAAUAUAGAAUACAUUAUUGCAGAGAGUAGAGAUUUAACAAAUAAUCCAAUUGUAUUUUUUUAUCUUUUUUCUUUUAUCUUUCUUAUCUUUUAUCUUUUUUCUUAUUUCCACAGGCAUUCGUUUUGCUCAUCUUUGGAAUUUUGGUUGGGAAUUUUAGUUUAGCACUCAUCAUUUUUGAUUGGAUUAAUAAAUAAAAGAAAUAUUUUCCUACUUCUUACAAGAAU